rnacentral:rRNA from 1 species
CUGACGAGUGGCGGACGGGUGAGUAAUGUCUGGGGAUCUGCCUGAUGGAGGGGGAUAACUACUGGAAACGGUAGCUAAUACCGCAUGAUGUCGCAAGACCAAAGCGGGGGACUUUCGGGCCUCGCACCAUCAGAUGAACCCAGAUGGGAUUAGCUAGUAGGUAAGGUAAUGGCUUACCUAGGCGACGAUCCCUAGCUGGUCUGAGAGGAUGACCAGCCACACUGGAACUGAGACACGGUCCAGACUCCUACGGGAGGCAGCAGUGGGGAAUAUUGCACAAUGGGCGCAAGCCUGAUGCAGCCAUGCCGCGUGUAUGAAGAAGGCCUUCGGGUUGUAAAGUACUUUCAGUCAGGAGGAAGGGUGUGAAAUUAAUACUUUCAUGCAUUGACGUUACUGACAGAAGAAGCACCGGCUAACUCCGUGCCAGCAGCCGCGGUAAUACGGAGGGUGCAAGCGUUAAUCGGAAUUACUGGGCGUAAAGCGCACGCAGGCGGUUUGUUAAGUCAGAUGUGAAAUCCCCGGGCUCAACCUGGGAACUGCAUUUGAAACUGGCA